GUCAAAAAAAGGUAAGCUACUAAGAGCGAAUGGUGGAUGCCUUGGUUGGUAGAGGCGAUGAAAGACGUGCUAGACUGCGAUAAGUCUCGGGGAGUUGUCAAGGAGCUUUGAUCCGGGAAUUUCUGAAUGGGGAAACCCAGUAUAUAGUGAUAUAUACUACCUAUAUGGAGCAAACGUGGGGAAUUGAAACAUCUUAGUACCCACAGGAAAAGAAAUCAAAUGAGAUUACGAAAGUAGCGGCGAGCGAAAUCGUAAAAGGGCAAACCACUAGUUUACUAGUGGGGUUGUAGGACUGUAACAUAGACUAAAAAGAGUUAAUAGAAUAAUCUGGAAAGUUUAAGCAUAGAGGGUGAUACUCCCGUAUAUGAAAACUCUUUUUUACUUAACAGUAUCCUGAGUAGGGCGAGGCACGUGAAACCUUGUCUGAAUCUGGGAAGACCACUUUCCAACCCUAAAUACUACUACCAAACCGAUAGUGAACAAGUACCGUGAGGGAAAGGUGAAAAGAACGGGGGUGACCCGAGUGAAAUAGAACCUGAAACCAUUUGCUUACAAUCAUUCAGAGCACGAUUCUUUAUGACGUGUGAUGGACUGCCUUUUGCAUAAUGAGCCUGCGAGUUGUGAUAUCUGGCAAGGUUAAGGAAAUCCGGAGCCGUAGCGAAAGCAAGUCUUAAUAGGGCGUUUAGUCAGAUAUUGCAGACCCGAAACGAAGUGAUCUAUCCAUGAGCAGGUUGAAACCGGUGUAAGAGCCGGCGGAGGACCGAACCCGCUGACGUUGAAAAGUCUUGGGAUGACUUGUGGAUAGGGGUGAAAGGCCAAUCAAACUUCGUGAUAGCUGGUUCUCUCCGAAAUAUAUUUAGGUAUAGCGUUAUGUAGUAAUUAGAGGGGGUAGAGCACUGAAUGGGCUAGGGCAUACACCAAUGUACCAAACCCUAUCAAACUCCGAAUACCUUUAGUGUAAUCAUAGCAGUCAGGCGGCGAGUGAUAAAAUCCGUCGUCAAAAGGGGAACAACCCAGACUACCGACUAAGGUCCCAAAAUCUUAUUUAAGUGGAAAACGAUGUGAAGUUACUUAAACAACCAGGAGGUUGGCUUAGAAGCAGCCAUCCUUUAAAGAUAGCGUAAUAGCUCACUGGUCUAGUGAUUUUGCGCGGAAAAUAUAACGGGGCUAAAAUAAGUACCGAAGUCGUAGACUUGCACACAACUUAGUUCUUUAUAAAACAAAGUGUAUAAGUUAUAUUUAAAACUAGCGAUAGCGUUUUUGCAAAGCAAAAAGUUUUAAAAUAUCUUAAGCUAAAAGAGUUAAGUUGUGUGCAAGUGGUAGGAGAGCGUUGUAUUUAGCGUUGAAGAUGUACCGGUAAGGAGCGUUGGAGCAAAUACAAGUGAGCAUGCAGGCAUGAGUAGCGUUAAAUCAGGUGAGAAUCCUGAUCGCCGAAAACCCAAGGUUUCCUACGCGAUGCUCGUCAUCGUAGGGUUAGUCGGGUCCUAAGCAAAGUCCGAAAGGGGUAUGCGAUGGAAAAUUGGUUAAUAUUCCAAUACCAAUUAUUAUGUGCGAUGGAAGGACGCUUAAAGUUAGUGGAGCUAACUGAUGGAAUAGUUAGUCUAAGGCUGUAGGUUGAGUUAUAGGCAAAUCCGUAACUCUUUAUCCGAAAGCUUAAAGGCUUACAAAGCUCUUCGGAGUAGCGUAAGAAUCCAUGAUACUAUAGAGCCAAGAAAAGUUUCUAAGUUUAGUAAUAAUUGCCCGUACCGUAAACCGACACAGGUGGGUGGGAUGAGUAUUCUAAGGCGCGUGGAAGAACUCUCUUUAAGGAACUCUGCAAAAUAGCACCGUAUCUUCGGUAUAAGGUGUGCCUACCAGGGUGCAAGCCCUAGAGGUUACAACAAAGAGUCCCUCCCGACUGUUUACCAAAAACACAGCACUCUGCUAACACGUAAGUGGAUGUAUAGGGUGUGACGCCUGCCCGGUGCUCGAAGGUUAAUUGAUGGAGUUAGCAUUAGCAAAGCUCUUGAUCGAAGCCCGAGUAAACGGCGGCCGUAACUAUAACGGUCCUAAGGUAGCGAAAUUCCUUGUCGGUUAAAUACCGACCUGCAUGAAUGGCGUAACGAGAUGGGAGCUGUCUCAAAGAGGGAUCCAGUGAAAUUGUAGUGGAGGUGAAAAUUCCUCCUACCCGCGGCAAGACGGAAAGACCCCGUGGACCUUUACUAUAGCUUGACACUGCUACUUGGAUAAAGAUGUGCAGGAUAGGUGGGAGAUUAUGAUCUAUAGAUGCUAGUCUAUAAGGAGUCGUCCUUGAGAUACCACUCUUCUUUAUUCGGGUAGCUAACUAGCCUAAGUUAUCCUUAGGUAGGACAAUGUCUGGUGGGUAGUUUGACUGGGGCGGUCGCCUCCCAAAUAAUAACGGAGGCUUACAAAGGUUGGUUCAAAACGGUUGGAAAUCGUUUGUAGAGUAUAAAGGCAAAAACCAGCUUAACUGCGACACCGACAAGUGGAGCAGAGACGAAAGUCGGUCUUAGUGAUCCGGUGGUUCUGUGUGGAAGGGCCAUCGCUCAAAGGAUAAAAGGUACCCCGGGGAUAACAGGCUGAUCUCCCCCAAGAGCUCACAUCGACGGGGAGGUUUGGCACCUCGAUGUCGGCUCAUCGCAUCCUGGGGCUGGAGCAGGUCCCAAGGGUAUGGCUGUUCGCCAUUUAAAGCGGUACGCGAGCUGGGUUCAGAACGUCGUGAGACAGUUCGGUCCCUAUCUGCCGUGGGCGUAAGAAGAUUGAGGAGAGUUGACCCUAGUACGAGAGGACCGGGUUGAACCAACCACUGGUGUAUAAGUUGUCCUGCCAAGGGCACCGCUUAGUAGCUAAGUUGGGAUGUGAUAAGAGCUGAAAGCAUCUAAGCUCGAAGCCAACUCCAAGAUUAAUCUUCUUUUAAGAGCUCUUAUAGACUAUAAGUUUGAUAGGCUGGGUGUGUAAUUGAUGUAAGUCAUUUAGCUGACCAGUACUAAUAGCUCGUUUGCUUAUCUUAUUAAGCAU
rnacentral:rRNA from 1 species